AUUGAACGCUGGCGGCAGGCUUAACACAUGCAAGUCGAGCGGUAGCACAGGGGAGCUUGCUCCCUGGGUGACGAGCGGCGGACGGGUGAGUAAUGUCUGGGAAACUGCCUGAUGGAGGGGGAUAACUACUGGAAACGGUAGCUAAUACCGCAUAACGUCGCAAGACCAAAGAGGGGGACCUUCGGGCCUCUUGCCAUCAGAUGUGCCCAGAUGGGAUUAGCUAGUAGGUGGGGUAGUGGCUCACCUAGGCGACGAUCCCUAGCUGGUCUGAGAGGAUGACCAGCCACACUGGAACUGAGACACGGUCCAGACUCCUACGGGAGGCAGCAGUGGGGAAUAUUGCACAAUGGGCGCAAGCCUGAUGCAGCCAUGCCGCGUGUGUGAAGAAGGCCUUCGGGUUGUAAAGCACUUUCAGCGAGGAGGAAGGUGGUGAGCUUAAUACGUUCAUCAAUUGACGUUACUCGCAGAAGAAGCACCGGCUAACUCCGUG
rnacentral:rRNA from 1 species